rnacentral:rRNA from 1 species
CGGAGGGCUAGCGUUGUUCGGAAUUACUGGGCGUAAAGCGUACGUAGGCGGCUUUGUAAGUUAGAGGUGAAAGCCCAGAGCUCAACUCUGGAAUUGCCUUUAAGACUGCAUCGCUUGAAUCGUGGAGAGGUUAGUGGAAUUCCGAGUGUAGAGGUGAAAUUCGUAGAUAUUCGGAAGAACACCAGUGGCGAAGGCGACUAACUGGACACGUAUUGACGCUGAGGUACGAAAGCGUGGGGAGCAAACAGGAUU